AUCUGAUACAGAACAUGGUCAGGGUAGAAAGGAAUAUUAAUAAAAGUUUCAGUGUUCAGUUUCAAUUUCUGAAAGACCUUGUUGACAUGUAUUUAUUUAAAAAACUAAAACAGACUUUUUUUCUUCCCUUUCCCUUUUUCAGGAUUGGAGACACCUUUGGAUUAGAUUAGACUUCAGGGAAUACCACCUAAGGAGUAGGACAUAAAGAAGCAAAGAAGCAGUACCCCCUGGUGGGCAUCAUAGUCAAUGGGAAGUCACUGCAACAGUGAAAAUAAAGAAAAUAAACCAAGUCUAUGAAGAAAACAAAGAGCUGCCCUACAUCUCAGAGGAGGAAAGAAAUAUCUACUUAACAGUCAGGUCAUACCAGAGACUUUGGAAAAUAUCUGGAUCACAAAUCCCUGUCACCAGUGACCAGUAAACGAAAUCUGGGCCAUGUCCUUCCUUGCAGAAUGCCCUCCCUGGAUGAGUCAACAGGUCAUUCAAGAGACACUUACAUCAAAUUGUCAAAGCAAUGCAAUUUUCAGCUGUGAAAACUUAUGCCUGGCAUGAAAAGUCUAAACACAAUUUUAAAGUUAAGUGUACAAACACAUCACAACACUUUCUUUCCGGGAAAGGGGCAGAGAAGGAAAAUUAGGUAUUACUGUGCUUUUCAUUUUCAUGACUCUUUUGGCAUAUGUGACUGGAGAAGGAUCCAGUUUUGGGAGUGAGGCAGGGAGGGAGGUUUAGUGAGAGAGGUUAUUUGGUUCAUCUUCAAUCACAUUCCUAGUCUGUCUGGCUUGUUUGGCUCUGCACAAGGCAGAAAGUGUGUAAUACUUUCUGACAACAAGGGAAAAAAAAAAACAAGGGACAGGCACAUUUAUCUUGGAGACACUGUUAAAAGCAGCCAGUUGGCUCUGCCUUUUACUGUAAACAAUGUUAUUAUUUUUUCAAUACUGUAACUGUUUUA